rnacentral:rRNA from 1 species
CACGUAGGGGGCGAGCGUUGUCCGGAUUUAUUGGGCGUAAAGAGCUCGUAGGCGGCUCAGUAAGUCGGGUGUGAAACCUCCAGGCUCAACCUGGAGACGCCACCUGAUACUGCUGUGGCUGGAGUCCUGGAGAGGAAGGUGGAAUGCUUGGUGUAGAGGUGAAAUUCGUAGAUAUCAAGCGGAACACCGGUGGCGAAGGCGGCCUUCUGGACAGUGACUGACGCUGAGACGCGAAAGCGUGGGGAGCAAACAGG